GAGUUUGAUCUUGGCUCAGAUUGAACGCUGGCGGCAGGCUUAACACAUGCAAGUCGAACGGUAACAUGAGUGCUUGCACUUGAUGACGAGUGGCGGACGGGUGAGUAAAGUAUGGGGAUCUGCCGAAUGGAGGGGGACAACAGUUGGAAACGACUGCUAAUACCGCAUAAAGUUGAGAGACCAAAGCAUGGGACUUACGGGCCAUGCGCCAUUCGAUGAACCCAUAUGGGAUUAGCUAGUUGGUAGGGUAAUGGCUUACCAAGG
rnacentral:rRNA from 1 species